UUACAUUUUCUUGUAAAAUAUUUUCUCCUUCUCAUUCUUUCUCCAUUUAAUUUUCUUGUAAAAGAAAGAAGAAAAUUAAAUUGUCAGGAGAAAGAAUUAGGAGAAAAUAUUAAAGAAAAUGUAAUUCCUUGACGGUUACACGUUAUCUUUUCCUUUAUUGAGCUCUUAUAAUAAGAGAAUGAAAGAAA
rnacentral:ribozyme from 11 species